GACGAACGCUGGCGGCGUGCUUAACACAUGCAAGUCGAACGGAAAGGCCCUGCUUUUGUGGGGUGCUCGAGUGGCGAACGGGUGAGUAACACGUGAGUAACCUGCCCUUGACUUUGGGAUAACUUCAGGAAACUGGGGCUAAUACCGGAUAGGAGCUCCUGCUGCAUGGUGGGGGUUGGAAAUUUUCGGCGGUCGGGGAUGGACUCGCGGCUUAUGAGCUUGUUAGUUGGGUAGGUGCUGACCAAGGCUUAGACGGGUAGCCGGCAUGAGAGGGUGACCGGCCACAUGGGGACUGCGAGACGGCCCAGACUCCUACGGGAGGCAGCAGUGGGGAAUAUUGCACAAUGGGCGGAAGCCUGAUGCAGCAACGCCGCGGGCGGGAUGACGGCCUUCGGGUUGUAAACCGCUUUCGCCUGUGACGAAGCGUGAGUGACGGUAAUGGGUAAAGAAGCACCGGCUAACUACGUG
rnacentral:rRNA from 1 species